UGUGGUAAUCCUUGGCUCUCAAAUGCCAG
rnacentral:piRNA from 1 species